rnacentral:rRNA from 1 species
UGAUUGGAUGAGCCCAUGUUCGAUUAGCUAGUUGGCGGGGUAAAGGCCCACCAAGGCGACGAUCGAUAGCUGGUCUGAGAGGAUGAUCAGCCACACUGGGACUGAGACACGGCCCAGACUCCUACGGGAGGCAGCAGUAGGGAAUAUUGGACAAUGGGCGCAAGCCUGAUCCAGCCAUGCCGCGUGAGUGAAGAAGGCCCUCGGGUUGUAAAGCUCUUUUGUCCGGAAAGAAAAGCAUUCGGUUAAUACCCGGGUGUUCUGACGGUACCGGAAGAAUAAGCACCGGCUAACUUCGUGCCAGCAGCC